rnacentral:lncRNA from 12 species
UUUCACAACAGAGGCCAACAGAACUUGGAACCCCUGCACCCGGGCCCCCACAUUCUAGUGCAGCCCCACCUCAGGCUCACUUGGCUGGAGACAUCCGCUACUGGAAGAUGUUCUCUUGCUGCUUUCCCACCUCUGGGGACUCUGGCUCCCAGGAACCCCAGGGGUGCCGCUUGUUCAAAUGCUGUAGGCUUUGGCUCCACCAUAAAAACCAAUGCCUCAGGGCGUUUAUCAGGAGGCACCAUAAGGCUGAAAGGGCCUCUGCCGGGAAGUGGAAUCUGAUCUCCCCAACAAAGCCCAGCCAGACCGAGCUGCUGGAGCACGAAGUCCAACAACUGCUGCCCACCUUGCUGCACAGGGACAUGAUCUCUAUUUUCAGUUUCUUAGACAACUAUGAUGAAUUUGGCAGCACCGAAGAGGUGCUGGACCUGUUUACCAAAUAUGGAUGCAUCGUAGCUGCCUGUGGUGACAACGACGCAGUCCUGCAGCAGUGGAAAAUGGCCAUCUCCUGA